rnacentral:rRNA from 1 species
UACUAAGCGGAGGAAAAGAAACUAACUAGGAUUCCCUAAGUAGCGGCGAGCGAACAGGGAAGAGCCCAGCGCCGAAUCCCGCGUCCGGCCACGGACGCCGGGAAAUGUGGCGUUAGGGAGGACGAUAUGUUUCGAGUUCGUGCGGCGAGUCCAAGUCCUUCUUGAACGAGGCCACCGCCCAUAGAGGGUGCCAGGCCCGUAGCGACCGCUGCCGGAUGCGAAACGAUCUCUCCUUAGAGUCGGGUUGCUUGAGAUUGCAGCCCUAAGUGGGUGGUAAACUCCAUCUAAGGCUAAAUAUGACCACGAGACCGAUAGCGAACAAGUACCGUGAGGGAAAGUUGAAAAGAACUUUGAAGAGAGAGUUCAAUAGUACGUGAAACCGUUCAGGGGUAAACCUGAGAAACCCGAAAGGUCGAACGGGGAGAUUCACCGCGGCUCGCGGUCGAGGCUCGGCGCUCGUGCGACUGACGGCCCCCGGGUCGCCUGCGCCUUGCGCCCCGUUCCGUCGACUGCGAACGCGUGCACUUCUCCCCUAGUAGGACGUCGCGAUCCGUUGGGCGCCGGUCUAAGGACUGCGGAGGAGACCGGACGGAACGUUCUGCGUUCGCCGUCCGGACCUGCGGAUCCCCGGCCGGCUCGCUCGACGGUAGCCGUGAGGCGCUGGGCCGCGACUUCAGCUCGCGUCCGGCCCGCAGCAAGCGCGCCGUGCGAUCCGGCGAUCGGACUCUGUGCCGAUUCCGGGCCUCGGUGGCUGUUCGCCGCGGUGUUCUCGGACAGACCCAGUUGAAACGCCGAUCUGCGACGACGAAGCUUUGGGUACUUUCAGGACCCGUCUUGAAACACGGACCAAGGAGUCUAGCAUGUGCGCGAGUCAUUGGGACACGACUAAACCUAAAGGCGCAAUGAAAGUAAAAGUCCGCCUCGCGCGGACCCAGGGAAGAUGGGCGUUGGUCUCGUGCCGCGCUCCGCAUUCCCGGGGCGUCUCGUUCUCAUCGCGAGAAGAGGCGUACCAAGAGCGUACACGCUGGGACCCGAAAGAUGGUGAACUAUGCCUGGUCAGGACGAAGUCAGGGGAAACCCUGAUGGAGGUCCGUAGCGAUUCUGACGUGCAAAUCGAUCGUCGGAACUGGGUAUAGGGGCGAAAGACUAAUCGAACCAUCUAGUAGCUGGUUCCCUCCGAAGUUUCCCUCAGGAUAGCUGGCGCUCGUCGUGUACGAGUCUCAUCCGGUAAAGCGAAUGAUUAGAGGCAUUGGGGCCGAAACGGCCUCAACCUAUUCUCAAACUUUAAAUGGGUGAGAUCUCCGGCUUGCUUGAACCGAUGAAGCCGCGAGAUACGGAUCAGAGUGCCAAGUGGGCCAUUUUUGGUAAGCAGAACUGGCGCUGUGGGAUGAACCAAACGUCGAGUUAAAGCGCCCAAAUCGACGCUUAUGGGACACCAUGAAAGGCGUUGGUAACUUAAGACAGCAGGACGGUGGCCAUGGAAGUCGGAAUCCGCCAAGGAGUGUGUAACAACUCACCUGCCGAAGUUACUAGCCCUGAAAAUGGAUGGCGCUGAAGCGUCGUGCUUAUACUCGACCGUCAGAGGCAAGUGCGGUCGGAGCGCUUCACGCGCUCCGGUCAUCAAGCCCUGACGAGUAGGAGGGUCGCGGCGGUGAGCGCAGAAGGGUUGGCCGCGAGGCCGCCUGGAGCCGCCGUCGGUGCAGAUCUUGGUGGUAGUAGCAAAUACUCCAGCGAGACCCUGGAGGACUGACGUGGAGAAGGGUUUCGUGUGAACAGCCGUUGCACACGAGUCAGUCGAUCCUAAGCCCUAGGCGAAAGCCGAUGUUGAUGUGGUGUGUCUACUCUGGCUAAGCGACACGGCAGCGCGCCCGCUGGCUCGCUCGCGAUCGAACGCGAACCGAGCGCGUUCCGCGACGACCAGUGAAGCGUGUCUGUCGAAGUGUUCUUGUCUGACGUUUGCGCACACCCGUCGGGCGAAAGGGAAUCCGGUUCCUAUUCCGGAACCCGGCAGCGGAACCGAAACAAUAGUUCGGGCCCUCUUAGGAGAGUUCGUCGGGGCAACCCAAACAGACCCGGAGACGCCGCCGAGAGAUCCAGGAAGAGUUUUCUUUUCUGCAUGAGCGUUCGAGUUCCAUGGAAUCCUCUAGCAGGGAGAUAUGGUUUGGAACGCGAAGAGCACCGCAGUUACAGCGGUGUCUGGAUCUUCUCCGCGGACCUUGAAAAUCCGGGAGAGGGCCACGUGGAGAUGUCGCGCCGGUUCGUACCCAUAUCCGCAGCAGGUCUCCA